rnacentral:misc_RNA from 1 species
GAAAUGCGAUAAGUAAUGUGAAUUGCAGAAUUCAGUGAAUCGUCGAAUCUUUGAACGCACAUUGCGCCCGCCAGUAUUCUGGCGGGCAUGCCUGUCCGAGCGUCAUUUCAACCAUCAAGCCCCCGGGCUUGUGUUGGGGACCUGCGGCUGCCCGCAGGCCCUGAAAACCAGUGGCGGGCUCGCUGUCACACCGAGCGUAGUAGCAAUCACCUCGCUCAGGGCGUGCUGCGGGUUCCGGCCGUUAAACAGCCUUACAAAACCCAAGGUUGACCUCGGAUCAGGUAGGAAGACCCGCUGAACUUAAGC